rnacentral:lncRNA from 1 species
AUCACGUCCCUGCCUACUUCGCUCGGCUCGGCGCUAAACUUGCACUCCAGGUAUUCAGUCUUAGAUCUGCUUAUUUUGAAACCCUUAGACUCGAGAGUCGUCUCCAUGCCUAUAACCUCUCAAUAACACUGACCCUCGUCUCGUCUAUCAAGAUUAUGUCAUCAGCAAAUAACAUACACCAAGGCACAUCCCCUUAAAUAUGUCGGGUUAGAGCAUCCAUCACCAAGGCAAACAAGAGAGGGCUAAGCGUCGAUCCUUGAUGGAGCCCCAUAACCACUGGAAAAUGGUCUGA